rnacentral:rRNA from 1 species
CCUACGGGAGGCUGCAGUGGGGAAUAUUGCACAAUGGGCGCAAGCCUGAUGCAGCGACGCCGCGUGAGCGAUGAAGGCCUUCGGGUCGUAAAGCUCUGUCCUAAGGGAAGAAUAAUGACGGUACCUUAGGAGGAAGCCCCGGCUAACUACGUGCCAGCGGCCGCGGUAAUACGUAGGGGGCGAACGUUAUCCGGAAUCACUGGGCGUAAAGGGUGCGUAGGCGGCCCUGCAAGUCAGGAGUUAAAUCCCUCGGCUCAACCGAGAUCAGCUCGUGAAACUGUAGGGCCUGAGUGCAGGAGAGGAGAGCGGAAUUCCUUGUGUAGCGGUGAAAUGCGUAGAGAUUAGGAGGAACACCAGUGGCGAAGGCGGCUCACUGGACUGCAACUGAGGCUAAGGCACGAAAGCGUGGGGAGCGGACAGGAUGAGAUACCCCUGUAGUC